AUUACCUACGGGACGCAGCAGUGAGGAAUAUUGGUCAAUGGCCGGAAGGCUGAACCAGCCAAGUCGCGUGAGGGAAUAAGGCCCUAUGGGUCGUAAACCUCUUUUGUCAGGGAGCAAAGGCGUCCACGUGUGGACGAGAGGAGAGUACCUGAAGAAAAAGCAUCGGCUAACUCCGUGCCAGCAGCCGCGGUAAUACGUAGGGAGCGAGCGUUGUCCGGAUUUACUGGGUGUAAAGGGUGCGCAGGCGGCUCUGCAAGUCAGGCGUGAAAGCUAGGGGCUCAACCCCUAAAUUGCGCUUGAAACUG
rnacentral:rRNA from 1 species